rnacentral:rRNA from 1 species
GUCAGUGGCAGACGGGUGAGUAACACGUGGGAACGUGCCCUUCGGUUCGGAAUAACUCAGGGAAACUUGAGCUAAUACCGGAUACGCCCUUUUGGGGAAAGGUUUACUGCCGAAGGAUCGGCCCGCGUCUGAUUAGCUUGUUGGUGGGGUAACGGCCUACCAAGGCGACGAUCAGUAGCUGGUCUGAGAGGAUGAUCAGCCACACUGGGACUGAGACACGGCCCAGACUCCUACGGGAGGCAGCAGUGGGGAAUAUUGGACAAUGGGCGCAAGCCUGAUCCAGCCAUGCCGCGUGAGUGAUGAAGGCCUUAGGGUUGUAAAGCUCUUUUGUCCGGGACGAUAAUGACGGUACCGGAAGAAUAAGCCCCGGCUAACUUCGUGCCAGCAGCCGCGGUAAUU